CAGUCCUCCAGUGCUAGUACCGCCAACUCCGGGAAGACCAUUAAUUUUGUAUCUGACAGUGUUCGAAAGUUCAAUGGGUUGCGUACUGGGACAACAUGACGAGUCAGGAAAGAAAGAAAAGGCGAUCUGCUACCUCAUCAAAAAGUUCACUGAAUAUGAGGCAAAAUAUUCGUCCGUUGAGAAAUAUUGUUGCGCUCUGGUUUGGGUAGCUCGGAGACUCAGACAAUAUAUGUUGUAUCACACGACAUGGCUAAUUUCAAAGCUGGACCCAAUAAAAUACAUGAUGGAAUCGCCGGCACUAUCAGGAAGAAUCGCACGAUGGCAGCUCCUCCUUUCGGAAUAUGACAUUGCCUAUGUAAGUCAGAAGUCAAUAAAAGGGAGCGCAAUAGCUGACUUCUUAGCAACUCGAACGACAGAGGAAUAUGAGCCUUUAAGAUUCGAUUUCCCAGACGAAGACUUAAUGUGAAUCACAGAAAUAGAAUCCGAGUCAUCAAAAGAGAAGUCAUGGAAGAUGUGCUUUGAUGGUGCGUCAAAUGCUUUAGGGCAUGGAAUUGGAGCAAUCCUGGUAUCACCAGACGGGAAUCAUUAUCCGUUCACUGCAAGACUGAACUUCUUCUGUACCAAUAAUAUCGCAGAAUAUGAGGCCUGUAUCAUGGGGCUUCGUGCAGCUAUUGAACGAAACAUCGAGAUCUUGGAGGUGUACGGGGACUCAGCCCUAGUGAUUUACCAAAUCCGUGGAGAAUGGGAAGUGAGGGACUCAAAAUUGAUUAAGUACAGCGAUUUAGUGGCUGGAUUGAUCAAGGAAUUCAAAGAAAUAACUUUUCAUUACUUCCCACGAGAAGAGAACCAACUGGCUGAUGCCCUAGCCACUUUGGCUUCAAUGUUCAAAGCAAGUAGAGAAGCAGAAAUAAUGCCCCUCAAAAUGAGCAUAUACGAGGUCCCUGCACACUGUUGUAGCAUUGAGAAAGAAGUAGACGGAUAGCCUUGGUUCCAUGAUAUCUUAGAAUAUAUCAAGAAUCAAAGGUAUCCCGAACAAGUGAAUGAGAACGAUAAAAGAACAAUUAGAAGAAUGAUAGCGGGAUUUGUUCUUGAUGGGGAUAUCCUGUAUAAAAGAGGAAAGGAUCAGAUGCUUUUGAGAUGUGUGGAUGAUGUUGAAACCAGAAAAAUACUUGAAGAGGUCCAUGAGGGAAUUUGCGGAACGCAUGCCAAUGGUUUCAAUAUGGCCAGAAAGAUCAUGAGACUCGGUUAUUAUUGGCUGACAAUGGAAAGUGACUGCAUCAAUUUUUCCAGAAAAUGCCACAAAUGUCAAAUCUACGGCGAUAAAAUUCAUGUAGCCCCUUCACCCCUUCAUGUCAUGACUUCUCCGUGGCCUUUUUCUAUGUGGGGCAUGGAUGUCAUAGGACCAAUUUCUCUAAAAGCUUCAAAUGGACAUCGAUUCAUUUUUGUGGUUAUCGAUUACUUCCCAAAAUGGAUUGAAGCCGAUUCAUUUGCCAAUGUGACGAAGACUGCAGUGUGCAAGUUUUUGAAAAAGGAAAUCAUUUGCCGAUAUGGUUUGCCUGAAAGAAUCAUCUCAGAUAAUGCCACGAAUCUGAACAAUAAGAUGAUGAAAGAAGUGUGCGAGCAUUUCCAAAUAAAGCAUCAUAAUUCCUCGCCCUAUCGCCCAAAGAUGAACGGGGCUGUUGAAGCAGCUAACAAGAACAUUAAGAGGAUCAUUGGGAAAAUGACUGAGACAUAUAAAGAUUGGCACGAGAAACUUCCAUUUGCUUUGUUUGCAUAUCGCACAUCUGUGCGAACAUCUACGGGAGCAACUCCUUUCUCUCUAGUCUAUGGAAUGGAAGCUGUGCUACCUAUCGAGGUUGAGAUCCCCUCUCUGCGAGUAUUGAUGGAAUCAAAGUUAGAAGAAGCAGAAUGGGUUCGAGCUCGAUAUGAUCAGUUGAACCUCAUUGAAGAAAAACGUCUAAGGGCAAUUUGUCAUGGGCAAAUGUACCAAAAGAGAAUAAUCGCAGCCCAUGACAAGAAGGUACGACCAAGAGAGUUCCAUGAAGGAGAAUUCGUUCUGAGAAAGAUUCUCCCACUACAAAAAGACCGGCGAGGAAAAUGGGCACCAAAUUGGGAAGGACCAUACGUUGUAAAAAAGGCAUUCUCAAGAGGAGCUUUAAUCCUUACCGAGAUGGAUGGGAAGGAGUUACCGAAUCCGGUGAAUUCGGAUGCGGUGAAGAAAUAUUAUGCUUAAGAUGAAAACCCGAAAAGGGCAUCUAAAAAAAGGGCGAAAACUCGAAAAGGGCGUCUUGAUUAGUACAAAAAGAUUAGGAUGAAAACCCGAGAGGGCGUCCUAAUGAAACAAACCUGGCGGUCGAACGAUAGGUCAAGUAGUGAGACUACAGUAUUUGAAGCAUUUCUGAAAGCUCGAAAUCUUCUACGCAAGAAGCCGCGCUCAAAAAGAUUUUUGAUUGUGGAACGAGGAAGAGUUCAUGUGUUGAAUAUCUAGAGCAUUUGUAUCCGUUGAAUACGAUCCUUUCUUUCUUUUUGACAUUUUUUACUCUCAUUGUUUAACUUGCUUUGUUUGCCACAUUUGAAAUAGAUGAAUAUGAAAUAUCAUUUUUGUCCCUAUCUGACCUUUUUCAUGCAUCUCAUUAUGUGUUUAUUUACAUGAUAAAUGGUGAAAUGACAUACUCUAAACAAAAGAAAUGUUAAGCAUUACCUGGAUGAAAAUUUGAUAAGCACAAGAGUCUCAAAGUAAGAACAAAGUUCAAUCGGGGGCAGAAGAGUGAUAUCUGAGAAACGUCGAUUACUCGUGAAGCUUGAAGACAGGUAUAAGGACUAAAGAGAAAGUCGAGAAUCAAAGCAAUGAACACAGAUCCUCAACAAUCGUGGCUAAAUAGACAUACGACAAACAUGCUUAAGGAGCACUGCAUAAUCGUGUAGGCAUAAAAGCAUUUAAGACAAACAUGUGCAUAUCAUGAUAACAUCAUACAUGGCAUAUACAGGUACUCCAGUAGAGCAAGAAAUCUUGAAUAAGAGUCGCACUGAAUCAAAGGAAAAGACAUCUGAGUUCCACCAGUUGACAUCUUUUGGUAUUUUGAUGUUUUUAUUUCUGUUUCAAAAAAAAUCAACUCAUACUGCGAGAGGUGAGUUGAGCCUCAGGACACGCUGAGGUAAUUUCAAUUUCUGUUGUCAAAAAAAUCAACUCAUAUUGCGAGAGGUGAGUUGAGCCUCGGGAGACGCUGAGGUAAUUUCAAUUUCUGUUUUCAAAAAUCAACUCAUAUUGCGAGAGGUGAGUUGAGCCUCGGGACACGCUGAGGUAAUUUCAAUUUCUGUUUUCAAAAUUCAACUCCUAUUACGAGAAAUGAGUUGAGCCUCAAGACAUGUUGAGGUAUUUUUAAUUUUUGUCUUUCAAAAAAAUCAACUCAUACUGCGAGAGGUGAUUUGAGCCUCAGGACACGCUGAGGUAAUUUCAAUUUCUGUUGUUAAAAAAAUCAACUCAUAUUGCGAGAAAUGAGUUGAGCCUCAGGACACGCUGAGGUAAUUUCAAUUUCUGUUUUCAAAAUUCAACUCAUAUUGCGAGAAAUGAGUUGAGCCUCAAGACAUGCUGAGGUAUUUUCAAUUUUUUUUUUUUCAAAAAAAUCAACUCAUAUUGCGAGAGGUGAGUUGAGCCUCGGGACACGCUGAGGUAAUUUCAAUUUCUGUUUUCAAAAAUCAACUCAUAUUGCGAGAGGUGAGUUGAGCUUCAAAUCACACAUGUGGUAUUUUUUCAAUUUAUAUUGCGAAAGGUGAGUUAAGCCUCGAGUCACAUGUCGAGGUAUUUUCAAAAUCUGCUUUUCAAGAUAAGUUUCAAAAAUCAACUCAUAUUGCGAGAGGUGAGUUGAGCCUUGGCUCACACGCUGAGCUAUUUUCAAUUUCUGUUUUUAAUGUCUGUUUUUAGAGAGUCAAUUCAUAUUGUGAAAAAUGAGUUGAGCUCAGGAUCACAUACCGAGUAAAGAAUAAAGACUGGAAUUAAUCGAAGACACAGAUUUUAUAUCCCUGAAGUUACAGUGAAGCUAAUUGAAGUUACAGUGGAGCUGAUCGAGGAUAUUAGAUCUUGCCUUUCUAAAGUGGCAGAAGAGAAGACCAAAACCUUAUUCGUUGAAGCGAUAGAAGAGCUUAUUGAAGUUGUAGAUCUUAUCUUUCUGAAGUUACAGUGAAGCGGAUCGAAGCCACAAAUCUCAUAUCCUUGAAGUUACAUUGGAACAGAUUGAAGCUACAAGGCAUAUCUCCGAAUUUGCAGUGGAUUGAACCAAAGCUACAAGAUGCGGUGGACUGAAAAGGGACUAACUAAACAAGAAGAGUUCCAAAGUAAGUCAAGACCUAGCAAGACCGGGCAAGUUUGGUCUUCCUUGAAAGUCUUUGCUCUAUUAUCGUUGCACGACAAUGAGCAAAGAGGGGCAGCUGUAGAAGCCCAAAUUGCCCGGGCCCGAUUAUAUCAAAACCCGACCAAACCUCUAAACUCACUAAAACCCUUAACCCAUGACCCAUUUACAUCUAUCCAAACCCAUUACAAAACCCAAAUAUUAAACCCAAUUCAAAAGCCCAUUAAGCCCUCCAAAAAAAAACCUAACCCCCCCAAAAAAAGAAAAAACCUAACCCCCCCCCAAAAAAAAGAAAAACCUAACCCCAAAAAAAAAACCAAGAAACUUUAGCCACCUAGCCACUUUCCCACUUGCCCCAUUUUUCCUCCAAUUUUUGAUAUCCAUUGUCUACCACCACCACCUACAAAAUAGAAAAAGAAAUAAUAGAAAAUCAUGUAAAAGAUGGCUAUAAAAAGCCAUUCAAAAAUCAUGUAAGAAGGGGGAAUUUUGAUCAAUACAAAGAAUUUAUCUUCAAAAAAUACCUAAAGGUGAUUUUAUCUUCUUUAUUUUACUCUUUUUUUAUUUUUAUUUUUUAUUUUUUUCCUUUUUUUGAAUCUAUUAAUCUAUAUAUAUACAUCAUAAUAAAAUAUAUAAUAAAAAUAUAUAUACAAAACAAAUAUUAAAAAAAUUACCUUUUCUGGCCACCACGUGCGGUGGCCGGCGCUGGUGACGGACGGCGGCCGACGGUCGGUCGGUGACCGGCCCCUGGCCGGAUUUACCUUCCCCCCUCCCUUCUCUCUUCCCUCUCUCUUCUUUUUCAUUUAUUUUUCGUAUUUACCUUGGAUUUCAUAUUAUUUUGCUAUUUAAUUUAGCUUUAAAUAUUAAUCAUGUUAUAUAUGUAAUAUUGUUAUCACUAUUAUUUUUAUAUAUUGUUAUUAUUAUAUUAUAUUUAGCUAUAUAUAUAUUUUCUUUAUGUUCCGUUUCUUACUAUUUUAUGCAUAUAUAUCUAUUAUUAUAUUUAUUAUUAAUAUUGUUAGCACUAGUACUUUUACUUCAUGUGUAUGUAGAUAUACAUGUACAUAUUAAUAGUUUUUUUAUCAUAUGUAUAUAUUGUAUAUAUUAUAUUUAUAUUAUAUAUAUUCUUAAUGUUAUUAGUUGUAUACUUCUUGUAUAUUUCUAUGUAUAUACUUUAUAUUGUCUCAUGUACAUACUCCGAAAUACUAUUAUACAUAUACAUAUUUUUAAUACCAUAUUGAGUAUAUAUUAUUGUAUUUAUUUUUAUUCCGAUUAUACUUAUUAUUAAUGUUAGUACAUAUAUUUCACCAUAAGUGUAUAUAUACCUUUUUGUGUAUAUAAUAUUAUUUUCGUAUAUUUAAUUAUUAUUCUAAAAAAGGGUUAUAAUAUGUACAUAUUUAUGAAGUAUUAUUAAUAGUAUUGUUUUUAAACAUCAUUGUUAUUUCUAAUAUAUAUAUUAUGUACAUUUUUUAUUUCUAUUUUGUUUUUUUAUUUGUCAAUAUUAAUUAUUAUUAUUCUAAUAUUUUGAUAUUUUAAUAUUUUAUAUUAUUCACAUCACUAUUCGCAUUUUUUACAAUAAUAUUCUUACAUUUUUUACUAUCAUUUUAGAAACUUUUUACAUUUUAAUUUUAAGAAUAAGGCAAUGUACCGAUUUUAACAUUAAGUCAUCGAUUUCAUCGUUAUGUUGGGUGAAAUUCGUCGGCUUGUGUUAAAAAACGGGACACCCUUUCUAAAAAAAUCGAAAACUAAAAAUUCUCAUUUUUCAAUCGGAUCACGAUUAAAUAUUAUAUUGAACUCGUAUUUUUGAAAAUCAAGUCAACACAUGUUUAUGAGAUACCAAUUUUGGACGUCGCGAGGGUGCUAAUACCUUCCUCGCGCGUAACUGACUCCCGAACCCCAAUUUUUUUCUGGACUUUCACGUAGACCUAAAUUCGGCCUUCUUUUUGUUUUAAAAUAAUUUUAUUAGGUAUCCGAUCACACCUAUAAAAAAGGAUCGGUGGCGACUCCCUUUGUUAAUAAAAUCGAAAGUUGGUUUUCAAAUGUUUAAUAAAUCGCCACAAUUAGCGACCAAGCGAAACUAAAUUUUUUUACGUCGCUACAAUUCUAUAUUUAGAAAAUUCGAGAAAUCGUUCCCUAACUUACUGGGCUUCGAUUUUUCUCGUGAUCCUAAAUAACUGAAUAUCCUUUUAAAAUUGAAAUAAAUGAGGUUUAAAUAAAAAAAUAAAAGGCAAGCUUAAUUCAAAAUACGAGAUGUCGGGUCCUAACUUACUGGAUGUGACAUCUUGUUACUUCGAGAUAAGGAAGCAUUUUCCAUAUUUAUUUAUUCGAGUAAUUUUAAAAUAACACAAUAAAGAGGGAUCGUAUUUUUAAAUUCUUUUCGAGUUUUUAAUCUUCGACACUGAGACAUUAAUUAAUCAACUAGGUACCAAUUUUAGGCGUAUCGAGGGUGCUAAUCCUUUCUCGCGCGUAAUCGACUCUCGAACCCGUUUUUCUGAAUUUCGUAGAUCGAAAUUAUUGUUUUAAUAAAUCAAAUAAUUUCUUAAAAUAAUAACUUUUCGAGGUGAUCCGAUCACACCUCAUCAAAAAGGAUUGGUGGCGACUCCCGUUUUCGUUUUCGUUUUCAACAACCAAGUCGACCCCGUUUUAUAUCAAAAAAAUGGUGUCAACAAAUUAAAUUUCUAACCUUAUGUAAUUUUCAACUUAAAUGUUAUCAGUCCAAUCAGCAAAAAAUUAAUGACGUCAAGGAGAAAUUAUUUUAUGAACCAUUGUCACCACAUCAUCCAUGGUCCCUUUCCAAUUAUAUAAUGACAUUUCAACAAUUUUUUUACAUCUCAUUGACACAUAAUUUUGGUAAUUUUUUUACCUUAAACCUCAAAUCUCGAACCCUGAAACUUGAACCCCAAAGCCCGAACUCAAACCCUAAACUCCAAGCCAAACUUGAACCUUAAACCAUGAACCUUAAAUCCAAAUAUUAAAUCUCAAACCUUAAACAUCAAACUCGAACCUUGAACCCCAAACUCGAACCUUAAACUUUGAACAUGGGUUCAGGGUUUAGGAUUUGAGGCUCAAAGUUUAGGGUUCUAGAUUUAAGGUUAGGAUUCAAGGUUCAUGGUUUAGCGUUUAGGGUAAAAAAAUUGCCAAAAUUAUGUGUAAAUAAUAUAGAAAAAACUAAAAUAUCAUUAAAUAAUUAAAAAAUGACCAUAAAUAAUGUGAGUGAAAAAAUCUAUAAAAUAAAUUUUAAACUUCAAAAUUUUGAGUGAAAAACAUAAAUUGGAAGGUUAAAAAAAAGUGUUAAUGUUGAAUUAAUAACUUGGUUGGGUAAUAUCUUUUUAUUAAAGACUGAAUUGAUUAGAAUUUUUUCUUUCCAUCCAAGCCUUUAUUUAGAUCCAUCAUAACUAGUCUAAUUUUGAGUCAUUAAAUUAGAUGCUUUUCCCACACGGCUAAAGCCCCACUCUUGCAUUUAUAACAUAUGGAAAACUUUUACUACACUCACGAAAUCGAUACCACCAUAUUCAAUUCCUCACGAACUUCAUAAUUUUCUACCUACAAAAAGCUUAGAACUCAUAGAGGCUGCCUAUCAUAUAUGCACUGUUAAGGUAAAUAAUGACACAAUAAUUUAUAUCAACCGAAGAAGCAAUAAUGUGAGAGAGAGAGAAUCACCUCCCAACUCAAAACAUUUUGUUGAGGUGUUUAUCCCCAACACCUCAACAUUGUUCCUAUGAUAGAUUAAAUUGUUUGCAUAUCAUCUAACUCCAGCAGCUAUGGAAGUAUACAAAUCAAUUUUUCUAUAGUAGGAGUUAGAUUACAUUUGGUCUUUUUUAUUGAAAGAUGAACAAAUUAUUUUUUGUACUUUAGAUCAAAAAGCAAAUUGAUCCUUUUUAUUAAAAAUUUUAACAAUUUCUAUUAUUAAAAACUGACAUGGCUGGUAAAAUAAUCAGAAAAUUGCACGUGGCAUAUAAGGAUCAGUUUUUAACAGUAGAAAUGGAUGAAUUUUUUAACAGGAUGACCAAUUUACUCUUUAAUGUAACGUAUAGGGAUUAAUUUACCUUUUUUAAUAUAAAAAAUAAAUGUAAUCUAACCCUUAAUACAAAAAUCUCCGUAAUCCUUUCACCGCUUUUCCUUUAAAAAAAUAUGUAAAAUUUACUUCAUUAAUUCUUUAGGCUAGUGUACAUCGGGCCAUCUAUAAACUUAUAAAUUAAGACUCUAAAACUCAUUUUACUAUUUAAAAUAUAUUAAAAUUAUUAUUGUAUGAUUCAAUUUUAAUAAAUAUUUUUAUUUAUUAAAUAAUACCUCAAAUCAAGAUAAUAAAAAUAUUUUUAUAAUUAAAUUUAAAUAAUUUUAUUUAUUUGAGUUUCAAACAAAAUUUUAUAAUAUAUUACCGGAUUAAUAUAACAUUUGUUGCUUGAACUUGACAUGUUUUCCUAUUUUGAUACCUAAAUUUUUUUGGCCCAAUUUGUUACUUGAACUUGAAUUUUUUUUCCUAAUUUAGUACUUAAACUAGCAGUGUUAAAUAAGUCAUGUUAUGCUACAAAAAUAUAUUAGUAUUAGAGGAAAUUCAUGUUAAAAAAAAUUAUGCAUUGAGUUUAAAAACCCAAAAUAAAAAAAAUCAUUAUUUUAAAUUAAUAAAAUAAAAUUAAUUAAUUAAACUAAAAGUAAUUGAACAUUUAAAAUAAAUAAAAAUACUAUGUCAUCUAUCACAUGCCGAUCAUACAUUGAUUAUUUUCUAUACCUCAUAAAAGAUAAUAUUGUUAACAUAUUGAAGUAAUUUUUAUAAUGUUUGACAACCAAAUCUCGCAAAAAAAAUAAUACCAAAUUAGAAAAAGAGUCAAGUUCAGGUACCAAAUUGGAAUAAAAAAAUAUAAAGUAUCAAAUUAAGAAAUUGUGUUAAGUUCAUGUACCAAAUUAAGAAAACAUGUCAAGUCUAAGUAUCAAAUUGAACAAAAAAAUUCAAAUACAAAAUUAAGAAAAAAAUAUUAAGUUCAAGUACCAAAUAUUAUUUAAAUCUAUAUUAUACUAGAUCUGACAAUAAUACUCAAGACUUUUCUCCAUCCCUAUAACAUACCUAAAAUAUAUACUUAUGUUUUUUCCUUUUGAUAAGAAAAUAUAUCAAGUUGAUGUACUAAAUUAAAAAAAACGUGUCAAAUUUAAAUAUUAAAUUAAGAAAAAAAUAUUAAAUUUAAGUAUGAAAUAUUAUUUAAGCAUAUAUUAUAUGAGAUCUAACAAAAAUACUCGAGCCUUUUCCCAUCCCUAUAACACACCUAACGAAAAUUCAUGUAUAAAUUUGAAAUAAAAACCUUAAUAAAUAGUAUUGGUACACUUAUUAACAAACACCUAUAAUAAAAAGAAAAGUCUUGCAAAAUACAAUAAAUGUUUAAGAGUAUUUGAGUUUGAUAAUUUUUUUAAUGUGGUAUCUGAUUUGAUAAAAGUUAUAUCUUUUAAUAUUUGAAGGUAACAGUGUCAACAUUUUAUCAUUCAAUUUAAAUUUUAAUGUUGAUUUGAUAAAAAUUCAUAAUUAAUUAAUAAUAUUAUCUAUUAACUUUUUCGAACCGACCCAAAGUUGAAAAAGAAAAUUACAACCAUGAGAUUGUGUGUAAUAAAUUGAAUAUAAAAUUAAACAAAUAUGCAACUACCGCUAAAUUUAUUUUACUAAUAAAAUCAUGAAAAUUUGAAUUAACCCUUAAAUACUAAUUAAAACCUUUUUUAUGUCACUAUCCGACCUAACCCACGAGAUUUACGAGCCUUUUAAGGUGUUGUCACGUUUAAAAACAUUUCUAAAUAUUUGAAUCCACAUCACAAUACACAUAUAAAUAUGCUCUUAUUAACUGUGAGAAAAUGCAUUUAUAUAUGUGUUGGGAGAUCAUUUACAAGACUCAACGAGAAUAUAUUUAAUUUGAUAAUUUUAUAAGAGGAUUCAUAGCGAGAUAAAGUCAGGGAAGCUGGUUAAUAUAUUAUUUAGAAUAAGUUUAUUAAUGAUUUAGAAUGUGUUGGUGGAAGUGAUUAAUAUAUAUAAUCUCAGGGCAUUGACUAGGAAAAUUCAUAAAAGAAAACAAAAUCAUCUCACCUUUCUAAUGUUUGGGAAUUUAUACUUAUGUGGUAGAUUUAUAUUUCACUAUUUAUUCAUCAUUUGAAUGCCCACCUUCCCACUUUUACUAGGAAACCAACCCCCAUAAUUCCCUCCCACUUUCACUUUCUCAUCUUAAAUUCAAAAUCUACCGCUUUACAACUUUUUUUCCCACCUUCCAAGCACUUCCUGCUACUGUCAAAUUUAUUUUCAAAUCACCCACCAAAAAGAAUCUGCCAUCAAAGUCUAUUUUAUGUUAACCAUUAACCCUACUUUUUAUUUGAAAAGAUUAAAUGGUUAAGGGAUUAUUUGAUGAUCAAAAUAGAUGCUGUUAAUAGGUAGAAAAUCUGAAUGAACAAUAUACAUUCUUUUUUCUACUCAAGGAGUAGGGUUUAGCUUUUAGAAUAAGGAAAAGAGGGUUUCAAGAAUUACACAUUGUUGUUGUUGUUGGAAAUGAAAGGCAUUUAGCUAAAUCAUAAAUCAUAAUGAUUUAUUAGGCUCCUCUUACUAGCUAUUACUUGGAUGGUUAUACAUACCUUCCACUAGUAGUCUUCUCGACCCACACACACAUCAAAAGCUCCUCUUUCGAACAUUUCUUGUUGAGUAUUAAAAUUUUAGCUUUCUUCUUCACCCAAAUAGAAGAGUGUUAGGAUCGACCCGAUUAAGUAACAAGUACAAAAAAAUAAUAGAAUAAAUUGAGAAAUUAAACACACAAAUUUAACAUGAAAAAACUCCUCCAAAGAGGAUAAAAAAUCACGGGCAAAGAUAAUUUUACUAUAAUGGCAAAAGAACGAAGAGUACAAAAGAUGGAGAUAAAAACUAAAUCCCGAAAACAAAGAACCCUCAAAACGUAAACACAAAAUUCUCUAAAUGUGUUAUGAGUUCUAAUCUCUAAUGGGUGUCUUUUUUAAGGUUGUAAAAGAACCUAUUUAUAGGCUAAAUUAGUAAGUCAAAUAAACUAUGCUAAUAAAUGAUAAAUAUAUUAUACUAAUAAAUACUAAAUCUUCUAGAAAGAAAAUAUAUUUUGUUUAACUUGACUUGCAAACAAUCUCUUAGAAUUUGGGUCACACAACUCUAACAAAGAACUUGUUGAAUUCUAAAGAUACAUUGUAAAUAGGUAAUUAUUCAAUCAGAUAACUAAGAAGUUGUGAAAGCCAUUCAAAGAAGCUUUGCUAUUCCUUCAAAUUAUGCUAUGAUAAGAAGAUAUAUCACAUUUUAUCCCAAGAAGAUUAAUGGAUUCUACGUUACAUUCCCAGAGAGCAAAAUCAGGUCACAUAUUGCUUAGCAAAGUUGGCUUUAGUCAAUAAAGAGGAGUUGCGAAUUUUUUACUCUCCCCCAAUGGAGAGUUCAGAAUUUUUUUUAUUCGGACAGGUUAAGGGGAUUGAUCCAUUCUCAGAAUACUCUCGUCUAAUUUAAGCUAGCCUUUUUUUUUAACAUUGUAAACAAAUUAUCUAUGGUGUAUACAUCUAUAAUUGAUUUUAAAAUUUUUACUUUCAAUUUGUGGUACAACAUUCAAUAUCUAAAAAAGUUUUAGUGAAAUCACAAUAUGAACAUAGAUUAAAAGGAUCGAACUACAUUAACUAAUGUUUAUUGUCACUUUAAUUAAAAUUUUGUCGAUCUCAAAUUCACUCACAAAUUCAUACUCAACACAAUAUAUGUGUUAUACUAUUGAUGGAAAUUUUUAAAAAAAACAUAAAGCUAAAAAAUAUUUCCUAAAAAAGUAAAAAGAGGAAAAAGAACUUAAAAAGCAUAUAUGAUUAUUUGUGUAUUCAAUAUUAUUUUUAAAUUAAAUUGUCACUUUAUGUGAAUCUCUCCGACAAAUAGUCAUGAAGAGAAAGAUGGGAGAGGCUCAGGCUGAAUUAAAAGUGGACAAUUUUCAUUACGGUGUCAACCACUGUUAAACCCCACAUUGUUUAGACUCCACAAGGUUACCAAAGUAAAACAAAAUAUGAGGUUGUGUUUUAUAAUAAAAAUAAAAAUGAGUUAUAAUAAAACAAAUUGUAAAAGAUGAUGUAUUUAGAACAUAUCUUAGUGCUAACUAUGAUUUGAUUAAUUAAUCUUAAUAAUGUACUGCCAUCUUACUUGUUCUUCUACUUUUCCUGCCAAUUUGUUAACUAGAUUAGAAUCAAUGAGCACAAAUCAUUGUUAUUCAAGAAAUGCUUUUAAAAUUUUGGGUAAAUAUCAACUUUGAUUUAUUGUAAUUAUACACAUGAAAUUUGAAUUUAUAUGUUUAUAUGAAACAUCGAUUUUAAUUCACUUAUAUACAUUUAAAGAAAGGUCAUAUUGGAUUAAUAUAAUUAUUUGUGAAUGCAAUAUAUCAAUGUAAGUCUGUGUUAAUUUAAUAAUGUUGUUCAUGAUUUGUGAAAAUUAAAUCAAAAUCAUGUAUAGUUUUUAAACUUAACGACCGGAAUGACAAUCCAUGUUUUUUUUUUUGAAUUUUUGUGGGAUUUUUUCAUUUAUUUUUAAUUUUUAAUUAUUUUUAAAAUUUUUAAAAUAUUAUUAAAGUGACAUAAAAUAAAUAAUGUCAUAUCAAUAUGAAAUACGUAUGACUGUGACAUAAGUUGCACAGCUAACAUUACUAAAAAAUUAAUUUUUUUACUUAAUAUAUAAUAUAUUAAUGUAAAAUACUAGUAAUUAGAUAAUAUUAUUAAUAAUUUAUGAAAAUGAAACUUUAUAUAAAUCAACAUAAAAUCAAUACCCCAGUUAAUUGGUUUUGUUAAAAUGGAAAAGUGAAAAUAAACAAAUAAACAACUAUAAAUAACCAACAAUUCAAUACUACAUAGAAAUAAAAUAAAGAAAACAGAGUUUCAGUGAGAGAGCUAAAGAAAAGGAAAAUCACACACAACACUUUGUCUGCUAUUAAGACACAAACAAGAUAGAAGAGAGAGAAACUGUAAAGAAAGAAAACCCAAGAAGAAGAAGAAGAGGGUUUCAAGAUCUGGUCAGAUCAAGUCAAGCUACAUAAACAUGUAAGAUACAUACAUACAUAUAUAUAUUGUUUGUAUCAAAGUUUCUUUGUCUUUUUGUUUUUGUUUUGGGUUUUUGGUUUUAAAAUGAGCAAUGUGGUUCAUAUGUUUAACUGGUUUUUCUUGUUGCUGUCUUUUGUGAGGUUUUAUGUGAGUGUUUUGCUAAAGAAAUGAAGAGUUUUUGGUGAAUUUCUGCUUUUCUAUUUAUCCAUCUGGGAUACUUAUAUUCUGGGUUUUCUCAGUUUUGUCUUAAUGUGUUGGAUUUGUUGGAAAUCUUUUUUUUUUUACUCUCUUAAGUUAAAUCUAAAGUUUUUUUUUCUUUAUUGUGUUAAUUUUGCUAAUAAAUGAGAAGCCUUUCUAAAGCUUUUUUUUUUUCUAAUACAAGUUUAUAAAUAUUUGGGUCAUGCAAGAUUCUUCUUUAAAUUUUUGGGUUAUUUGAUUUAUUGUUUCUAAAUUAAAUGAACGUUUUUUUUUCUUUUUUAGUCCUCUGCUUGUCCAAUCAUUUAUUGUGUUCUAUUUACUUAAUACUAUUUUUUAUUUAUAAGCUAACUAAACAUCUUCAUUUUCUGAUUUCUUUCAAAAGGAGAGUUUUUGUUUCUUUUUCUUAGAUAUGUUUCUUUUUUUUUACUUGUUACAAUUAGAUUCUUAAAUUGCUUAACAUUUAUAUUUGAAGGUACCAUUUCAUUGGAAAUUCCAUAAAUCCUUUUCUAGAUUCUUCUUUGGGGUCAUACCCUAGUCACCUUUUUGUCUUCCAAGGUUGAAAUAAAGUGAAAGCAUUGCUUGGAAAUAGAUUUUAAUCACUUGAUGUGCACGGUGUACUCCACCUAUUAAGAGGAGACUUAGUUGGAUAACACUGAAUGUAAUGCAAUUCUUAUUUAAUCUUAGCUAGGAUUGCAUGUUUUUGCUUAGAUUUGGAAUUCAGAGUGCAGAUCAUUCACGGAUCUGCUUGAAAAAAUCAGUUUUAUUUGAAAAAAGCCAUGAAUUAUAUAUGAAACUUGUUUCAGAUCUUUUAUUAUCGUAUAGUACUUGUCAUUCUCAGUGUACUUGUUAAGCCUAAUAUGUUCAGCAAUGGUUUCUUUGUUUAAGAUCUUAUGCAUAUAUCGACAUAGAUUUUUUCUCUUUAUGCAGCGGAAUGGGGAGGGAACUCACGGAUGUGGACAUGGACGGUAAGCCAAAUGGUGUGGUGAAUUCAAAUGGCAACCUAACAGUUUCAGAAGGCUCCGAGUCUAAUAAUUAUGAGGUCAAGGAAUGCACUGCAAAAAACUCGGUCGUGGACAAUGGUCAUGAGAAGCAAGAAGCGCUGGGUGUUAAAAGCAUAAAUUUUGGUACUGACAUCCCUGAAGAUCAGAAGUGCAUGGACAAUGACGAGCUUAGCGCGACUGCAUCGAAACCCAUUGGUGCUGGACAAGCUCACCAUGCUACCUCUAAAACUGGUGCAAAUGGCACCGCAAAUGUCAACUCUGCACUCUCCCCUGCUACCACAAAGGGAUCAGAGGUAACUCCAACUCUAAAUUAGAAAAUUGUUUGGUUUUAAUAUCAGUGAUGUUGCUUAUUUGCUCAUACAUGCAAGGUGCUAAUCUUUUAGAUUUUACCAUUAUUUUCAGCCAAACUCUCCAAUAACUCCUUUGAUCUUGAGGAAGCCAUUGCAACCUUAUGACCGGAAGCAUCCUGAUGAUGAAGAUAACUGGUCCCUCACUUCCUCAUAUCCUUCUCUUUGGUGUUAAGAAGUUAAUAUGUAAUGCUAUGAGCUUGUCGGUUUUUUUUCUCUUCUUUUAAUUAUAUUGUGGAACUUCCCUACCCGAACUCUAUACCAUAUUUCUUCCUUAGCGGUAUCUUGUACAGCUGCGUCUGUUCGAACUGCUAGAUCGAGGGUAACUAUUGGAAGUGCUCCUACUUUUAGAAGUGCUGAACGUGCUGAGAAGCGGAGGGAGGUACAUUCUUAGUCCAAACAGUUUUGAUGCUUUUUUCAGUCAUUGAUGUUUUCUUCAUUUCAUUUUCAAACUAUCCAAAUUAUAAUGUUGUUUUUUUCAAUCCAGUUUUACCAAAAGUUGGAGGAAAAACACCGAGCUUUGAAGGCGGAGAGAAGCCAGUUUGAGGCCCGGACCAAGGUCCAUGGCACUUAAAAUUUCUCAUCCUUAUAUUUAUGCUAGACUUGGUUAGUUUUAACAAAAUCAGGCCUCCUUGCUUUUUUGCAGGAAGAGCAAGAAGCAGCACUUAAGCAGCUUAGAAAGAACAUGGUUGUCAAAGCAAAUCCAGUACCAGAUUUCUACUAUGAAGGACCUCCACGAAAGGUUGAACUGAAGAAGGUAUUCUUUCUAAUCUUUUCUCGUUUGUUUCGAGUCCUCGAAGUCGUUAUCCGGGAAAAUAUUUACCUAUUUUAUCUCCUUCAUAGUACAGAUCAAAUAUACCCUUUUGGCUAUAUAUGUUUCAUGCAGCUUUGGUGGAUAAUUGAACAUUUCAUUCUUGCUUUUAUUUCAUUUCAGCUGCCAUUGACUCGGCCAAAGUCACCAAAUUUUACCCGGAGAAAGAGCUGCGGUGAUGCAGUCCGCUCAUCUCAAGACGAAAAGGCAAAAGCUUGCUGUCAGACUCACCGCCGCAGCCUAGGUAACCAUACCGAACGAUCCACUACUGCAAAUGAGUUCAAAAGUAAAGGUCGGGUCAGUGGACAGACCAGUAAUGGAGCUGGCAAGGCAAAAGAGCGAGCAAAACAGGUAAAAGAGGCAACGAAAGCUGCACCUACUAAAAUCAUUGAGCCGAGUAACGCUAACAUCACUGUUCAAUCAUGAUCAUCUAGUUUUUUUUUUUUUUUACUAACUAUUAAGCUGGGAAAUAGUCUUGAAUUCCCGCACUGCCAUGCCAUAUGGAUGUCCUGAAACUGAGUAUAACUAGGUGGUUUCAUUUUUAGUAGGGACUUGUUUGUUAAGUGGUUUGCAUUAAUGUGAAAUGUAUAUGUUUUGUAAGUUUACAUUGUUACGUAUCUUUAUAUGUAGUAUGAGUUGUUGAUGCUAAUGCAUCCAAUAACUUGUUUUCAUCUGAUAUUCUCUUCUUUAUAUCAUGAAACAUAAUUCGAAUCAUGGCAUGAAUUUUGAUUAAGAUUAAAAAGAAGGGGACGAUUAUGAUAAGAAAAUAAUCUAAUACUAAACAAUGCCCGCCGUGGAGCAGCUUGGUCCCUUCAAAUAAUUACACACAAAAUGAUAGCUGAAAAUAUACAGAAAGAUAUAAGAUAAAUCCCUCAAAAAUCUCUUUUAGGCCCCUAGAAGUUGGCAGUGGUGUCAACAACCAAAAUAAGCGACCAAAUGGACUAUGAUGCAGUGGUUUGGUUUGGUAAGUAAAUCAACCACUUGAUCUGUUGAAUAGACCUUGUUUUGCACCUAAAAAUAUCAACCAAAUGGAGCAAUAUGUUUCAUCCUACUAUGGAACACCGGAUUCUCACACAGGUAUGUAGUGCCAACAUUAUCAGAAAGAAUCCAAGAACAAAAACAAAGCGGAAAGUGAUGUUCUCUUAGUAGAUAAGUGACCAAUUGGUUUCAGCAAGGGAAUAGCAACCGUUCUAUAUUUCGUUUCAGUAGAGGAGUGAGAGACAGCGCUGUUUCUUGGAAAACCAUGAGAUGGGCGUGUUGCUAAGCUAAACAUUGUAGCUAAUAGUGGAGGCAUAGUCAAGAGGAUCACCGCCCCAACCUGAGUUAGAAUAAACAAGAAGUCGUGGAUCAUCUUCUGAUGUGAUAUGAAGGCCAUGGGUGGAAAUUCCAUUGAAAUAGCGCAACAAAAGUUUGAUAGCUUUCCAAUGACUGCCACGCAGGCUGUGCAUAAAUUGAGAGAGCUUGUUAAUUGUAAAGGCGAUGUCAAGAAGAGUAAAUGAUGGACACUACAAUUAUCCAAUAACUUGCCAGUAGUAAAAGGCAUCAAUUAUAGGACUAGUAGGUUAGAGUCUGAGAAGUGCAGCGGAGGAUAUGAAUGGGAACACAUUCACUAUCUUGCAUAUUGACAGUAUGAAGAAGACCUUCAAUACAUUUUUGUUGGGACAGUAGAAGGCCACCUGAAUAAGGGAAAACCUCAACACCUAGAAAAUCAUGGAGGGAACCGAAUUCCUUCAAAGAAAACCGAUUAGUUAUUCUUGAAUGAUAUGACCAACAUAAGGUUCAAAAUUGCUAUUGGCAAUAAUAUCAUCUACAUAUAUUAGAAACACACAAAUUUGCCAAAACUACCUAGAAUGAACAACGACGCAUCAGAGUAAGAGUGUCUAAAACCUUUAGUAACCAAUUAGUUUUAUAGCUUGAUUUACCAAACACAGAGUGCUUGUUUGAUACCGUAAAUGGCUUUUUGGAGUUUGCAUACAUGUGUGGGCAGGGAAUGAUGCUCAAAACUUGGCAUGUAACCAUUAUACACCCGGUUCGAAAGACGAUCGAAUGUAAAGUGUCGCAUUAAUUACUGAAACAAUGUAAAUAAACGAUCGUACCAACAUUUCUCACAAUAUUUUAAGGUAAAAAUAUGCUAAUCAUUGUAGACGAAAAACAAAUUCAGAUGUGCUCACAUGCGAUGUUCCGAGGUCAAAUAGUAAAAAACGUGACCAAGUUAUGAAUCUUGGGUUAAACUAACAAAAUGCAAUGCUAUGUCUCGAGAUACGUAUCUUCUAUUUUCAAAUUUCAGCUUUCAAAUUCUAUGUCUCAAGACAUCACAACCUAUGUUUUUAAUUUUAGCUACGAAAUUUUAAGUUUCUAGAUAAUAGAACCAUGUCUCGAGACAAUACACCUCAUGUCUUGUGACAACUAUGAAAUGUCUUAAGACAUACACCUGAGAAUGCUUUUAGAUAUCAAACGGUCCCUAAACAAAAUGGACAUGCUACCAAAAGUAAAAGAACAAGUUUGACAUGAACCUUCACAAUAAGCACACUAAAUCAAAUUUUGAUCAUGAAAGUAAAUCAUAAGCAUGAAAAUCAAGGUACAAAUUCAUAAUAAAAAUCUAAUAAACACCAAAAUAUCAAAGUAAAAGUGUCAUCAUACCAAUAUGUCUCAGAACUAAUAUAAGUAAUGAACCAAAAAUAUUAUGGUAAUCUAAUAAUGUACGCUAUAAGGAAUUUCUAGUGUGUAUAUAAUAUGACCUAUCUAAUCUUUUUUCUAAAAAUGUACAAAGAACUACAAAACGAAUCGAGUUAACCCGUAAUGUACGCUAUGGCAUGCUACAAAACCAAAGGAUCGUGGUGUUGAUAUCCAGCAAAGGUGGAACGCGUCUAAAAGUGGAUCUGAGAUUGAGAUUUGCAGACUGGCUUUUUGAUCAGGAUGGUCACAGAUUUUGAUUUCUUCUUCAACGAUAUUAAUUGUUAUCAAUAACUCUCACAAUAAAUCCAAUUGUUGCUACUUCGUCUACAACAUGACCACCACUUCAAUCUUUUUUAUAUACACAUGUCAGUCUAAGCAACAUAAUAUUUAGAUUUCUGUCAAAACGCUUUCGUUGGAAACAGAUAAAUAAUAUGUGAUACUAUCAAAACGAUUAAUCUAUAUUUAGAUUUAUUCCGUCAUUUAUUUUGAUUUACUCAAUCAAAGGGUAACAUUCUAAAUCUUACAUUUAUAAAAAUAUUAAACUUUUAUUAAAUAAAACAUAUAAAUAAAUAUCCAACCACGAUUGAAACCUGAAUACUGAGUUUUUCAUAAAACAGAGUAACAUAGGAUAAAUUAAUAAAACCGUAACCUGCUUUAUAUAAUCAAUACAUACUACAUAUAUCGAUCUAAAUUCCACGACUACCCCUAGCUCGCCAUCAAAUUUACACCAUCUGCAAAGGGAAGGAAAAAAAAAAAAAAAGAACAACCUCCUACAAACAAAUACUGCUUUCUCUUCACUUCUUUGCCUUCUUUGGCGCCGCUUUCUUAGCCGGAGAUUUAACACUCUUCGGCUUCUUGACAGCGACUGUCUUCUUUGCUGGAACCUUUACUUUCUUCCCUGGCGAACUCUUCUUCGCCGUCUUCGCUACCUUAGUUGGCUUAGCCGCUGGUUUAGCUUUGGCCUUAGUUGUAGUAGCCUUCGGUUUCGCCGCAACUUUAGCCUUUGCCUUCACAGGCGUUCCAACUUUGGCUUUGGCUUUCGGUUUCGACGCGGUUUUAGUCGCCUUCGGCUUGGACUUUGAGGCGGCAGUGGUAGCUGCAGAUUUAGGCUUCGCGGCGGCAGGCUUCUUAGCUACGGCGGCCGGUUUCUUAGCUGCGGCAGAAGCCGAAGGCAGCUUAAAAGAGGCUUUCACUUUGACAAGCUUUCCAGAAGCAACAAACUUCUUCGUCUGAACAAGUAGGACUUUGCGGAAAUUCGCCGGUAAUUGCUUAUACUUCUCUUCGAUGAAUUUCGCGAUCGCAUAUUGGCUCGAUCCUGUCCUCUCUUUCAACGAAACGAUUGCAUCUGAAAUCAUCUGCAAAAAUCAUUUAAAAAUGAUUUAAAAUCAAAUAAAAUAUCUUAAGAGAAAGAAACUAAAGGUUUUUAGAGAGAGAGAGAGAGAGAGAGAGAGAGAGAUUUACCUCAAGAAAUGGAGGAUGUGAAGGAGCUGAUUUAGACUUCUUAGAGCCAGCAGUUUUCUUCUUCGCAACGGAAGCAACGGCGGAAGCCAUGAGUCAAUUCAACUAUUUUACGAGUCGUAAAAGAUUCGGAAACUGCUUUUCUUUCUUUCUUUCUUUUGGAAAAUGGACAGUUAAGAGGGAGAUUUUAUAAGGGAGGUGAUGAAAGCUUAUUGGUUGAGAGGGAAAUGACGCGGAUCAAUAGGGUUUUCGAAAUUUUAAAUUUUGGUAGUUCGAUUGGAACUUCAUUGACGGCUGAGAUUUAGAGUUUGGAUAAGUUGCGGAUCGCGGAGAGUCGAAAAGGGAUGCAUGAGGUUGAAGUUUGAGGUUGUAAUUGGAGAUUGGGGCUUGUGUUUUUGAGUCUAUUUGAAAUACAGAUAAAUUGUGCUUUACUCAAUGAAAUUUUAAGGGGAUUGAUUCUAUUGCUAGGUUAGGAUGUGAGGUUUAUAAUGAUAGUUAAAUUGGGAAAUUUAAUUAACAAAUUUGAGAGGAUUUUAAGUUUAAAUACGAAGUAGUCAGAAUUGGUGUGUUUUUAGAGUUUGAUGAGAUUUUGAUAAAAUUUAAGAAAAUUUUGUUCAAUUAUUCAGGAAUGACUAAUCGUGUGUGAUUGUAAGAUGGUAAUGAAGUUAUUUGGUUUAAGAAUUUUUGAAAAACAAUAAAGAAAUGAAGUUUUAAAUCAUGAUUGAAACACGAGUUAAGUUGAACAAACAUACUUGUGUCACAAUAAUAGUUGGUAAUAUAAAGUAUUAAACUGGUAUUAUCAUUUAAACUAAGUUAAAAUGUCUAAUGACUCAAAUUAAAUGUAAAACAAGAUUUUAAUGCUUCAAAUUGUUAUGGGGAAGUACCACAUUUUGAGAUUGAAUUGAAACAACAACAACAUAAUGUGAAUGGAACUCAAAUGUAUCCCCCUUACCAACAAAACACACACUUGUUUGGAAGUUUCCACCUUCUGUUCAUUGGGCUACUUAUAAACAUUUGAUUCUAUGGUGAAAACCAUUAAAGUUUCAAAAUAUACAUCAAGGAGUAAGUAAGAAAAUAGGUUUACUAUGAACCAAAGAAUGACAAUAAUUAGCCUAGCUAGAACUUAACAAAACAAACUAUUUCUUGUCUUUUUGUCACUUGUUCAUAUCAAAACUUGGUUGACAACUCAAACUCAUAUAUUUGAUAUUAAAAUUUAUGAUAUUUGUUGAGGAUUUUUAACUCUUUUAGAAAAAAUUUGUGAAAUAUCAUUCGUUCCAAAUUGGCAUACUUCUCUAUCUAUGGGGAGUUUGUCUCUCAAUUCUAUUAAAAGCUUGGAUUCUUGAAGAGAUGAUUCGAAGAUACGAUGAGUUCACUGAAUUAGAGCACCUCGUUGGGUGCUUGAGAAGGCAAACCAUAUACAAUUAGAAGUUAUAAGGCAUGGGUUUUAGUCCAACCAUGUACAUCAUGUAUGGUUCACCUUUUUAGACACCCAUCAAGAUGCUCCCGUCCUAUGAACUCAUCAUCUUUUCAAACACUUGGGUUCUCAGUAGAGUUGCGAGAUAAAACACUUCACCGGAGAAUGUUGAACUUGUUGAGGAAAUUACACAAAUUCCAAACAACGCUUCAUAAACUUCUUCUAAAAGAAUCGAAAAUCCCUUAAUAGUACUAUUUAAAAGUUCUUAUUUAUUGCUUUAGCAUCUAUAUUUUGAGAGUAAUAUUCGCGAAAUUACUUAUCUUCGGAUUGAAUGUUUAUUAUAGUGAACUUAACUUUUUUUUCAAGUUUUUCAUUUAAAAGAUUAUAGUCUAUGCUCAUUUUCAAACAUGCACAUUGAUUCUUUAUAAAAAAAAAUGAGAAAUUCAAACAAACAAAUAAAUAAAACCCUUAUUACUGAUUAAGAUAAUUAAAUAGACAUGUUGAGAAGUUUGAGCAUAUAUGGUUGGCUGUUAUUUAGUUGAAAUAUGUGAAGCUGCCUUAAGGCUCCAAAGGGAAUGUUCAAAACCAUAGAAUACAUUAGCAGUGUUUAAUCCAAGGAGUGUGGCACAAGUAAAGAGAAUUUGGUUUGCAAUUAUUAAUGAUUGCUUGCUUGAAAUCCUAGCUCAUAGCAGCAAAGAUGGGUUGUCACCAAGCUCCUCCUUGGAAUACAGAAAGUGCAUGGUGUGUUUUUGAUCAACUUUUCUUCAUGAUUGUCAUGUAAAUGUAAACUAUCAAUCUUCCUUUUAAUUAUUUGUACAAAUCAAUUUUUGAGAUGUAAAUAUACCACAGAAGAGGUAAAUAUUUUUAUACAAAUAAUACAAAAAAAAUUAGAGGGUUUAAAAACGUUUUCCUUUUCCCUCAUUUUAUUUAUUUUUGAAGUUUUAAUCUAUUUUUUUAAAUAAUUUCAAAUUAUUAUUUUAUAUUUAAUCAGGGUUAAAUUGAAAAACAAUUACAAAAAUUGAUAAUUAAAAUUGUAAUCAUGCCAAAUAAAAAAUGCCACUUUACAGUCGAGUGACAAAAAAAUAUUUAAACAUAAAAUUGUCAAAUUGUCAAAUUGUAACUUUUUUUAUUUAAGUGACAAAAACAAAAACAUGCCUAUAAUUUAGUGACUAAUGAUUAGAGGUGAUAAUAGGUCGGGCCAGGUCAAGUUCGGGCCGGGCCCAGAAAAAUUUCAGCCCGCGUCUUAGGCCCGGGCCCGGCCUGGCCCGGCCUAUUUUUUUAAUAAACACCAAAAUUUUAUUUUAAAAAUAAAAAAAUUUUAAAAAUAUAUUUUAAAAAUAUUUUAAAAUUAAAAAAUAAAAAAUAAAUAAUUAUUAUAUAUUCGGGCCGGCCCAGGCCCGGGCCAAAAAAGUGGUGCCCGAGGCCCGGCCCGUUUUCUAAACGGGCCUCGUUUUUUGCCCAAACCCAUAUUUCAGGCCUAUAUUUUUACCCGAACCCUCCCAUAUUUCGAGCGGGCCGUCGGGCCGGGCCGGGCAUGAUCACCUCUACUAAUGAUGCAAUUUAUCCUAUUUAAACUUAUCCAAAAGCGAUUCCAGCAUCACUUCAAUUAAAAUUAGGGCAAACUACCCAUUCCUAAUUUUUCGGGUACUUUCAUUUUAGUCAACCAAAAAGAAAUCCUAGCAAUUUCAUUACUGUCAUUAGAGAAGCUUUCAUUUUAGUCACCCAAGUGUUAAAUCUCUAACAACAGUUGACUGUGUACACCAAAUCAUGUCUACAUCAUGUUUACACUUCCAUUUUGGUCACCCAAAAAAUAUCAUUUUCUUAAGUAUUGAUUUGGGUAAAAAAACAUUAAGGAUUAAAAUGAAAAAGGGGUGAAAAAUAAAAUAAUGCAUUAAAAUUGUUAAAUUGUACUUAUUUAUCCCGUUGCCAAAAAUUCUAAAUUUCUUUUUUUUUCCCAAACUUGGGAUUUAAAUUUUAAAAAAUAAGAUAAUUUGUUCCAAAUUUUUUAUCUCUUGAUAGUGUGAACUAAUUUGUUACUAUAAUAUUGAAAUUAAUCAAUUUAAUAUCCUUCUAAAAUUUAAAUUUAGAAUUUAUGUUUCUAAAUUAUCAUUAAUAAAAUCAACUCAAACAACUAUCUUUAAUAAUUGUCUAGAAACUCAAUUAUUAUUAUUAUAUGAUAUUCAAUCUUUCAUGCUAAGCUAAAAGUAAAUAAAAAGAAAUCAUUGCAAUUAAUUUAGAAUUCUAGAAAUGGGAUAAACAUGUACGAUUUAACAUUUUUAAUGCAUUAUUUUAGUUUUUUAUUAUUUUCCACUUUAAUUCUUAAUUUUUUUUACUCAAAUCAAUAUUUUUUAGGGUAAGCAAAAUGAAAACGACCUAGAAGUUGGGUAACCGAAAUGAAAGUAUAAAUAUGAUGUGGAUAUGAUUUGGUGUGUAUAGUUAAUUGUCAUUAGAAAUUUAAUACCAAAUCUUUGUUUUCCAAGAUCUCUCUUUCCAAAUGCUAGGUGUAGUAGCCCGUAUUCAGUGGUUUUGAGACCACAAUACUAAUGAGUGAGUAUAUAAACAUUAUUUAUUUAAUAUUGAAGAGGUCAUUAGAGUGUCGUAUUAAAGUUUGGUUCAGUAAUUUUGAUGUUUGAAUAGUUAAUUGAGGUACAACAACUAAAUUGUAAAAAUUACAAAAGUUAAUCGCUAUUAGUUUAUAUGGGCUAAAUAAGUAUAAAAGUAUGAAUGAAUGGUUUUAGAUGGCAAUUUUUCCAUAGUUUUUAUAGUGGACGAUUUAUAGUCAUUUUUAUAAUGAAUUUUUUGUUUAGUUUAAUAAAAGUUAAAAUAAAGUAAAUAAAAACUUAAAACAUAAAAUAAAACCUCAUCUUCUUCAUUCUUGUUUCUCUCCCACUGAAAACACCAUUUUUGGUAGCCAAGGAAGUUCAACCAAGCUUAGUCCUUGCAUUUAAGUGAAUUAGAAGCAUGAUUUUCAUAAAUUUUAUGUUUUGAGACCGUUGUAGCUUAAUCUAGCUACCCCAAUGACUAUUUUGUAAUAAUGUCAAAGUUUUGAAAAGCUACCAUUGUUAUUUUUAAAGCUUUUUGGAUGUUAAUGGUUGGGAUUGAAGCUUUGUUAUGAAGUGGGACUAUUUUUUAAUUGAAAUUGGUUAGUUUUUAUUUUAGGGAUAAAAAUGAUAAUAUGUUGAAAUUGGCAUGAAAUUUUUAUAAAUUUAGAUGCUUGAGAUCUGUAAAGGGAUGAUUAUGAAUUAUGUUUUAAAAUUUUGGGCUUAACUGUGAAACAUAUGCUUAUUUCGAUUUUAAGGACUAAAUUGAAUAAAAAACAAAACUUUAGAAAAAUUGUAAAAAAUGAAUAAAAGAUGCCAUAUACAUUAAAUGAGAUGGUUUAAAGUAUUUUGAUAACUAGAAUUAAAUUACUGUAUAGAUCAAGAACCAGUAUAUAAUCAUGGAAAAAGAAAAAUUACAUAUUAGUCCUUAACACUCCUGUUGUUGUUGUUUUCCCUUGGUAAGUUCAUAUGGUAUAGUUCUAUGUAUUCUUGUAAUAUUUAUGUUUGGAUUGUAUAAUUGGAAUGUUUGAAUGUAAGCUUAAAUGUUGUAAUUGAUACAAAUGUGAGAAAAAGGACAUAAUUGAAAAUUGACAUACUAUUACAUGUGUUGAGCCCGGAUGAACAUGAGAUAUACAAUUGACAUGCUAAUAGGAUUAUUUGUGCGUUGUACAAUUUUAUAUGAGAUGAGAUGAUGAUAAAUGAUAUGUAUAUAUAUCCACUGAAUGUAUCGGAAUCCAGCAUUUGUUGUGGAUUACCGAGUUAUUUUCACAGUGAUUUAGGCAUGUUUCUAAGGAGGAUGUGUAGCCUACGGGCUUGACACUUGGUGCUCAGGCGUGUUUUUGGAGGGAUGUUUAGCCUAGAGGCUUGGCACUCAGUGCCCAAGCAUGUUCAUGGAUGGUUUAGCUUGUUUGAGCAAUCAGACGUGUUUUGGGUGGAUAACUGUGUAUCUGUAUCUAUUCAAAAUGGUUCAAUGGGCUAAAUCAAUAAGGUUAAUAGUGAAUGGUAAAUGUGUUAUCAUAUGAUAAGGUAUACUUUAAUGAUAUAUGUAUGUUUAUAUACAAUGGCUUGAUAAUAUACCUUCACUUGAGAUUGAAUUACAUCAAAUGGAAUGUUUAUUCAUUAUGUAUACAAUGAUCUCACCUGAUGAUUUAAAUUAUGGUAACAGGAAAAAUCAUUUAGUUAAAUAUGUUAUGUUGUAAUUGUGGGAUUUAAGGUAAGUUUUAUUAUUUUUAACCUAUGAACUUACUAAGCUCAAUUGAAGCUUACUUUGUUUCAUUUUCUGUUUCUUGUAGUUAUCAUUUUGCGAAACUUGGCGAUCAGAUUAAUUUGAAGAUCACACCAACCACUUUUUGGUAUAUCUUGAAAACGCUUUAUUUCGGUUAUGUGGCAUGUAAUAGGAGUUGAAUUGUAUAUAAAUGUUUUGUAAAAGUAAAGUGUGUUUUGUGUUGUACAUGAUAUGUGGGCUUGUUGGCAAAUUAAUGUGUUUGAUCAUGACAUGAAUUAGUAGCCUUGAAUGUGAUUAUUGAAUUUGGUAUGUGAUGGCAUCAUAUAGGUACUUGGUAAGUUAGAUUAAGUUUCAUAUAGAAAUUAUUGGAAAUAUGUGAUUUUGUUGAUGGCUAUUGUAUAACAUUUUGAUGAUUGCUUUGGAUGUUAUAAAUAUAAUAUAAGUUUAUGCUUGUUGUCAAAUGAUAGGUUAAUAGGUUGGCAUUAUGGCCAACCUUGAUAUGAUAGAAAUUGGUACUUGGAUUGCAUAUUAGGCACAUGUAUGGCUAAGUUCUAGUUUGGUAGUAAAUGGGGUUGAAUUUUGGUAUUGACUUAUUGUAAUGACCCAAAAUUCACGGGCAUCGAAAAAGUAUAUUAUCGGACCUCCGUCUUAAUAAACUGAGUCCGUAAAUAAUUAUUAUGAGUAAUUGUGAGUUUAGUAGUAUGUUUAAAUAGGCUUUAAUUAAGUGAAGUUAGCUCAACUUAGAGAAAAUAGUAAAAAUGACUAAAUUGAAUUAGGGGUAAAAGUUUAAUUAUAGGUUAAAAUAAAAUAAAGGGGAUUAAAUAGGAAAUUAUGCCUAAUUCAUUAGGUGAGGCGGCAAAUGGGAAGAUUAUUUAUUUAUUUAUUAUGUAUUAUAUAUAUAAAUAUUAUUAUGGUUUUAUAUUAAAAUAGUGACAAAUGUAUGGUAGUGAUAAUAAACAUGUGUAAAAUACAUGAAAAAUAUACUUGUAAUAUAUUUGUAUAUUUUCUUAAAUAAUAAGCAAAAGAUAUUUAUUAGUUAUUAUUAUAUUAUAAAAUAAAAUAAAUAAAGACAAGUGUAAGGUGAUGAUAAAAUACAAGUGUGUUAAUUAAAAUAUCUACAUUUGUAAUAUAUGUAUUAAAUUUACUUAUUAUUUAAGUAAUAGAUAUUUGUUAUAAUUAUAUAUUAUAUUAUUGUUAAAUUAAUAAACAAAUAUAAUACAAAGAAAGUAAAAAGGACUAAAAGGACAAUUAAACCAAAAGCAUAAGUUGAGAUUUUUAAGUUUAAUAAAUAUAUUAUAUUAUUAAAUAAUAAAGAUAUUUAUUAUGUUUUAUUAUUAUAUAUUAUAUUAUUAUAUUAUAUAUAAAGUAAAGUAAAGAAAGAAAACAGAGGAAAUAGAAACAGAAUAGGGGACGAAACAGAAACCAAAGAAAAAGAGAAAAGAAAGGAAGUUUAGGUUUUCAAGGUUCAAUUCCAAAUUGGUAAGUUAAAUUAAGUUUUUUUCUUGUAAUUUUUAAGUUUUUAUGAAUCUAGAACAAAAUAUUAUUAAGUAUAUGCUGAAAAUUUUGGAAGUUAUUAGGUUUUUAGACAUUAAUUUUGCUAGGUAAAAGUGUGAAUUAGAAAUUGAAUUAAUAAAAUUUCUAAUUAGAAUUGGGAGAUGUAUUAAAUUGUAAAAUAAGUUAUAAAUUUUAUAUAAUAAGGACCAAAAUUGCAAGAAUUUUGAAAUUAGGAAUUUAUGAUAAAAAUUAGAUCGUUAAGUUUAAGUUUAGUUGAAAUUGAGUAGAAAUGAGGUAUGAAUUGAGAUAGAAAAAUAAAUGAAUCUAUUUAGGGAUUAAAUUGAAAUUGGGAUGAAAGUAAAAUAGAAAUUCAGUUAUUAGAUGAAAAAUUUAUAUUGUAUUAAUGAUUAUGGAAAUUAUCUUAAUUUUUCGUAGCUAAUAUCGCACCCAAGGCAUCUACGAAGAAAGGAAACGAAAAAGUGGACGAGGAGUAGACACGAAAAGUACGAUUUGUAUUACUAUAAUUCAAAUUAUUUAUUAUUAAAUGCUAUAUUUAAAUUUAUAUGUAUGGUAAGUGAAAUAUAAGGUAAGUAUUAUUAUUAAGUUGAAAGAAAUUCAAUUGAAUGAAGAAUAUGUGUGUGGAAUUGAAAUGAAUAUUGACUUGAAAAUGGAAAAGUGAAUUUUGAAUUGAAUUGUGAUUGAAAGUGAAAAAGUGAAAUUGGAGACCCUAUUAACUAAUCGGGCUGAGUCAAAUAUAGUUGGCAUGCCAUAGGAUUGGAAGAGUUCAGGGAUACUUCAACCUCGAGUCGAUGAGACAUUGGGUGUCACUAUAUUUCUUCGGAUAGAUUCGAUGAGGUACUGGGUACCAACUUUCUUCGGCUUUGCCGAUGAGACACUGAGUGUCAACUAUAGCUUCGAACUAUCCGAUGAGGCACUGGUGCCAUACUGGAGUGUUUGGUUAGAUCCGUGUAUCCGUCAAAGUCUGAGCUUUGUAAAUAGGGUAAAUAAUGAAAUGAUAAACCGAAUGAGUUGAUCAAUAAAGCUACUGAAAUGAGAAGAAAAAGUUAAAUUGUGAAUUGAAAUGUGAUAUGAGAUUGAAGAAUGAACCUAAGGUUCAUGAUGUGUCCAAGUUCAAAUUGUGGAUAUAUGAUAUUAAUUGAUGAAUUGUUAUUGUUGAAAUAUGAAAUAUGAAAUAUGAAAUUUGAAUUUGAAUUUAUAUGUAUGACUUUUGCAUUACAUACUUAUUAUUGUUAUAAUUUGAAUUAUGGUAAUACCACUGAGUAUAAAAUACUCAGCGUACGGUUGUUUCCGUGCGCAGGUUGGUAGAAGUCAAGAGUCCCGGUCCAGCAUCCGAACGAUCCCGACUCCAGCAUAAAGAUUUUGGUGGUGUUUUCUUCCUUUAAAUGAAAGUGGCAUGUACAUAGGGAUUAUAAUGGUUAUUUUGGUAUGUUAUAUAAUUUUGUUGUAAAGAAAGAUAUUUGGUGUUUUGAUGAUUAAAUUAGUAAAAUGGUAGAAAUUGUUUAUGGCAUUGGUAUUGAAUUGGAAUGGCUUGAAUAGUUUAUGAACUAAUUAGAAAUGAUAAUGGGGUUUUCAUUAAUUAAGUUGUUAAGUCAAUAUGUCAAGUAUGAUUUAAGUAUAUUUGAGUAUAUAAAUACAUUGGUUGAAAUACUGGAAUUGGUUUGGUUGCGAUUUGAAAUUUGCAAGGAAGGUUCAAUAUUUAUAAAGAGGUUAUAUUGAAUUUAAAAAAAUGAAUGAAGCCAGUUAAUAUAAAUUUAUAUGAAUUUAUGAUUCUUUUAUAUAUGUUUGUUAUUUAUCUAAGAAUUAUUUGUAAAUUGUCCGAGAUGUCCGAUAAUGCCUCGUAACUUUGUUCCGGUGACAGUUUGGGGUUUGGGGGCGUUACACUUAUGUUUGUGAUGGUGCCUUAUGACAUAUUGAUUAGAACUAGGAAAAUGACAUAUUUUGGCAUGCUUUGGUGCAUUUUCAACAAAUUCAAGGAUUGGUUAAGUGCAUAUUUAUUGUGUAUGUGAGAAUUUGGUUUUGUAACUUGAAUUAUAAGGUACCUUUUGGCACAUACAGGCUAAUGCAUGACUGUGUGUCACUCAUGGGCAUGUGACACAACCGUGUGCUCUGUUUUGAUUCAGAAGUUUUGGGCCAACACAAUUAUAGAAAGAUACACGGGCUAGCCACAUGCUCGUGUGGUACUGUUCAUUUGGUCAUUAAAUUUUUGUACACGGUUCAGAAACACAGCUGUGUGACUUUAAGUUGAAAAUUUUGCAUCUAGGUCCACAUUGCUUCAGUUUGUUACACAGCUUGGUGACACGACUGUGUGACUCUAGGUUUACACUAUUACAAUUAGUUACAAGGCUUGGUGACGUGGUUGUGUGACUCAAGCACACACGGUUACAGUCUAUCAUAUGACUUGGACACACGACUGUGUGAUCCUUAAUUUCUGAUAAAGUCCUACUAUUUGUUAAGUUUUCAAUUAAGAUCCUAUUUGAUUCCAGAUUAAUUUGAGAGCUUUCGUAAGCUUGAUUAAAGCUCGAAAUUGUAUGAAAAGCAUGUUUUUUUUGAAUGGUUGAGAUAUGAUGAAUGAAUUGUUGAAUUUUUUAAUUAAGUUCACAUGUUCUUGUUCUGUUUAUUCUAUAGCAUUCUGUAAUCCGAUUUCGGCAACGAAGAUGGGUGAAGGGUGUUACAUUAGAGUUUCAUCUAGCUUCUUAUUGAUAGAGUUGAACUUCUUAACAAGGAUUGAGUUGAUGCAAGAACUUUUAAGGUAGGCUCCAAUCUUGUAGUCUUAUCCCCUAAGAGAGAAUAUUCAAGCGUUAUCUAUUUUUUCAGUUUUUUAUUCUAAAAUUUGAGGAAUGACUUUUCAUCAGUUAGACUAGCAUUAAUCUUGUAUAUAUGCUUCCAUUUAUCCAACAUAGUCUUAUAGGUCUCCAUAAAAUUCUAUUGAAAUCAAUGUCUAAACCAUUGACAUCUUUUGAGUCAGUUACAUAUGAAGAACUAACUUGAAUGGUAAAUGCCACAUAUUUUCUAAGAUGCUCAUCUUCCUCUUUCUCCAUCACUACAAGUAACACAUAAAGGCUUCUUAUUCUUUUUCAAGGUAUUAACCCACUUAACUUGAAUGUGAUCAAAACAUCAAACUUAAAAAUGAUACCGAUACAAAAAUAAUGUAUCGAUACUUUGACAAAGGUAUCGGUACUUUUAUGCCUAGUAUCAAUACAUUCAUUUUAAUUUAAAUUAUUUUGAAACACCGAAGGCCAAAAUAGUAUUGUUACCUUUAUGGGGUAUCGAUACCUAUUCUGAAAUUUUUGAAAACAUUGCAAUUUGGUCUUUUUUAAUGCUCGGGUUUAUAAAAGAGCUUUCAUAAGCUUAAUUAAGGCUCGAGUUUAAUUGUGUAAGGCUCGAGUUUAAUUAUGUAUCAUAAUAUCUAGGUGCUUAUGACAUGAUUGAAUAUUGGAAUGAUUUAUUUAUGACAUACUUGAUUUGAAAUUUUAAGAAUGUUGCAAGAAGGUCCCUAUUCGAUCUUGGGUUGACUUCAAAGCAUUCGUAUGCUCGUAUAAGACCUGAGAAAGAAUGUUCAUGAUAUUCAAUAUUGUAUUGUUGUUGAUUGCAAGAAUGUUGAUGUGAAAUGAUGAUUUUAUUGUGAAUUUGUUAGUAGUUGCUCUAGCAACGACUGUAGCAUCUCGUAACUCGGACCUGACGAUUGGAUUGGGCGAUGGGUGUUACAUUAUCCAAUUUCCAACUACGUCUCAAGUUACAAAAUGAAGGAAAUUUUUUUUUCUUCCUUCCAUGAUAUUCACCAAUAGAUAUUUAUUACAAUGAAUAACAUCAACAGUUGAUUUAGCAAAGAAUCUUAUCACAAGAAUGUAGGUAAGCUAUCCCCACAAAAUUAGUAUGGACAGUUACAAAUGGAUGGUUGAAUAACAAAGCUAAAUCCCUUUAAUGGAUGUCAACCCUUUUCUUUCUCCAUUAAAUUAGCACAUCGCAUUAUCCUUUUUGUGUUGUUUUCUAUAAGAUAUAAAGUUAAUCCCAAGGUUACCUCAUUAGCCAUUCUUCACUUUUUUACAAUUGUUUGGCCGUGUCAGCUUUGCAUGCUGUCGCGGCCAAUUUGGUGUAAUAAACCUCUCUCUUUGUUUCAUUUUUGUUUCAGGCAAAAGAAAAGAGAGAAGUUUAUUAUUUUGUUUUUUGUUUUGCUUUUAAGGUAUUCUUUUUCCAUCUUUUAGGAUUUAGAUAAGAAAUUUUUUGGUGUUCUUUUAUAGUAAUUAUCCAAAAAAAAUGAUGAAAUACAACGGAUUAGAGGCGACAACAAAGGUCGUCACACGUUCACUGUCCUCACCGUUAUGUGACUCGAAAACAGAACAGUUGCAACGAAUGCGAUUAAAGCCACCGCCAUUGAUGAUUGACAAGAAAUUUCUAUACAAGCAAUUGUCCAUGUUCGAGACCUCUAGGUUCGUGUUUCGUAUCAUGUUUUAGCUUUCUUCUUUAUUUUUGUACCGUGUAAUCGUGUCAUGUCUGAGACUUUACAUUUAGGGACAUUGCUUGGGAAAGAAGGCGACGACAGAUUCUUCGUCAAGAGAGAAAAAAAGAAGGGAUUAUCGUGAGUGAAAAUGGGUUGACAGAUGAAGAUUUGUAUGAACUUAAAGGGUGCAUAGAACUAGGGUUCGGAUUCAAUGAAGAAGCAGCUCAAAAGCUAUGCAACACAUUGCCAGCUCUAGACCUUUAUUUUGCUGUAAACCGACAGCUUCCACCACUUCCAUCCCCUCAAAGCCAAAGUUGUUCACCAUCACCUCCCUCAGUUGGUUACAUAUCACCAUGUGUUGAAAGCCCUAGAAGUGAGCUAGAUUGGAAAAUUUACAUCUCAGGUAAUGUUCAUUUCAAUGCCAAAAACAAUGAUGUAAAUCCAUAUUUGCAAUAUUGGUUAUAAGGGAUUAUAUAUUUUGGUUUAGCAGGAGAUAAUCCUCAGCAAGUGAAGACUAAGCUAAGGCAUUGGGCACAAGCUGUGGCAUGUUCUUUGAUGCAGUCAUGUUGAAGUGUACAUGCAUGGUUUGGUAUAGAGGCAAAGGAUCAAAGGGAAAAGAAAUUUUAGAGUAAGGAGAAAAAAGAUAGUAAGAGAGGGUCUAAGGUUCCCAUUUUCUUAUUAUUAUACAUCCAAUUUUGGCUGAGAUCCAAUUUUGUUUUGUUUGAGAUCACUUAGAGGGAUUCAAUUUAAAUAAACAAAUUCCAUAAAACUUACCUUAAAAAUAUUAAUGUUUGAAAUUUUUAUUAAUAUAAUAUAUAUUUCACAGAUUAUUAAUAAAAUUAUUCUUAUAAUUCCAUACUUUUGACAUUAUUUGUUAUUAAUUAUUAUUUUUUAAAUCUAGGCUUCCAAUCAUAGCUUUUUAUUCUCAAAAGUCAAAAUGAGACUAAUUAUCAAAUGUUAAAAGAAUUUAAAUUGUAAAUACAACAUUUAACCUCGUACACUUAUAAAUAUACAGGUUUAAAUUUUAGAUUUAAUCUCUAUCAUUUCAAUUUUGAGAGCUUUCCUAUAAGGUAAAUAUAUUUUUUUUUCUAAGGCGACAAAUUUGAAGGGGGUAGGCAGGGCCUUGACCCCCUCAAAUAGAAAUUUAUUUAUUUUUGUGAAAAGACAAAAAAAAAAUUGAAAAGAUUACAAUAAAAUGGAACUAGAUCCUUGUCUGGAAAACUUCAAACACUUGAAGACCUUCUAUCCUCUCUUGAACUCAUUUUGUGAUUCCAUCAACUUCUCCAUUAUCCUCUCCAGGGAUAUGUCGAAUGCCCCAAUGUCUUGUUCUGGAUAAAUUUUGGUAAACUCUCCUGAUCGAGUUGAGUCUAUAUCAUUACAAGCCUGAUUUUGAUUUGUUAGAACUGUCUCAAUGCUAUCAGUUUGAAUCAUCAUGCUGUUGUAGAAAAAUUGCUAUUUAAGUCUUCUAUAAAAUGAUAAAGUAAAAAUUAAUUUAUGGUAAAAUUACACUUUGACCUCAAAAAUGAAGAAACUUAUAUUUAAUCGCUUAAAAAUGAUGAAUAAUAAAUUAAUACAUUAUGUUUAAUCCCUUUAAAAAUUUAUUAUUCAAUUUCGGCCCCUCCUAAUUUUCUUUUUAGGUUUGCCCCUACUUUUUCUCUCUUUUUUGACAUUAUAAGAAAUGGUUAAAUUUCAAAUUUGGUCCCUUUACAUUUUCUCGAGUUAUAUAAAAAUGGUCAAAUUUUAUUUUUGGUCCUUCUAUAUUUUAUAUUUUAAAAAUAAAUUUUAAAUUCUAAUUUUUCUAAAUUUUAAUAAUUAUUAGUUUUUUCAUUUUAAAAUAUAUUUUUAUAGUUUUAAAUAUUUUUAAUAUUUUUUGACUCGUCAACGUUGAUUCAACGUGCCACAUCAUCAAACAACUUGCCAUGUCAUCAAUGACACAACACGUUUUGAUUGGCUGACUUCUUUUUAAACUCGUUAGCUAUUAGGUACCAAAACGGGUAACAACGUAAAGUUCAUGUACCAAAAUAACGUAAAGUUCAUGUACCAAAAUGAGACAAAAAAAGUUUAAGUACCAAAGUGAGAAAAUAGAUAUAGUUUAAGGGCUAAAUCAUGAAUAAAACUAAACUUAAAGUAUAAAUAUAAUAUAUUUUGAUAAAUAGACACUAUUAACCUGAUACAUCUAUAAAUUCUAUAUAAUAACGGUCAAAUUUUAAUUUUAGUCCCUAUAUUAUGUUUAAAUUUAAAAUUUAAUCUCUUUAUAUAAUAUUUUGAGGCUUAGCUAUAAGACACAUGUCCCUUUCUCUCUCUUUUUUCUUUGACAUUAUAAAAAGGGGUUAAAUUUUAAAUUUAAUCUCUCUAUUUUUUUUGAAUUAUAUAAAAAUGGUCAAAUUUCAAUUAUAAUUCUUAUAUUAUGUUUAAAUUUGAGUUUUGAUCUCUAUAUUUUAAUUAUCGAAGGCCUUCCUAUAAGACACAUCGGUUUCUUUUUAUUUGACAUUAUAAGAAGUGGUCAAUUUUCAAAUUUGAUCCUUCUACUUUUUUAAAUAAUAUAAAAAUGAUUAAAUUUUAAUUUUGUUCCUUAUACUACGUUCAAAUUUGAGAUUUAAUCUUUAUAUUUUAAUUUUUAAGGCCCUUCAAUAAGACUUCUGUCUUUCCUUUUUUUUUGACAUUAUAAAAGGUUGAAUUUCAAUUUUGAUCCCUCUAUUUUUUUCAAGUUAUAUAACAAUGAUCAAAAUUCAAUUUUGAUCUCUAUACUACAUUUAAAUUUAAGAUUUAAACUUAUAUUUUAAUUUUUGACAAACUCUUUAUAAAAGAAAGUUCCUAUGACCUUCCUAUAAGAUAAACGUCCCUUUUUCUUUUUUCCUUUUUACAUUAUAAGAAAUAGUUAAAUUUAAAAUUUCAUCCCUCUAUUUUUUGAGUUAUAUAAUGAUGGUUAAAUUUCAAUUUUGAUCCCUAUAUUAUGUUUAAAUUUGAGAUUUAAUUUCUAUAUUUUAAUUUUUCAGGGCCUAGACACAUGUCCUUUUCCUUUUUUUUUGACAUUAUAAAUAGUUGAAAUUCAAAUGUGAUCCCUCUAUUUUUUUCGAGUUAUACAAUAAUAGUCAAAUGUUAAGUUUAAUCCUAUACUACGUUUAAAUUUGAGAUUUAAUUUUUAUAUUUUAAUUUUUGAAGACCUUAUGGCAUUCGUAUAAGGCACGUGCCCCCUUUUUUUUCUUUUACAUGAUAAGAAAUCAUUAAAUUUCAACUUUCAUCCUCUAUUUUUUUGAGUUAUAAUGGUCAAAUUUUAAUUUUGGUUCUUAAACUAUGUUUAAAUCUGCAAUUUAAUCUUUAUAUUUCAAAUUGACAUAAUUCGCACCUCAACUUUUAUAAUGUCAUUAGUUUAAAUACUUUAUUUUGAUUAUACUAACGUGAAUUUUAAAAAUUGUUAACAUCGUUAAAUUUUUUGUUAAAUUUAAGUUUGUUACAAUACCUUUUUUUUAGGACAAUUCUACCUAGUGAGUUUUUUCUUUUUAAAGUUCUUGAAAAUAAAAAUGGACUAAAUUUCAAAUAUACAAAAUUUUAACUUUCAAAAUUUUAAUUAAUAAUUUAGACAAAAAUAAUUAACCCACUACUUAGAGGGUGGGAAUGGAGAUUAGUAUAUAAUUAAACGCGGGUAAUACCUAUAUUAAGAAAUUCUUAAAUAGGUCCAAAAAAAAAACGAAAAAGAAAAUAAAGCUGUUUAGGGUUUUACGAAGGCAAUAGUAAGUAACCAUGGCUCCAGAUGCUUCAGCUGCCCUUGCAGGUUCAUACUUUCUUCAACUACGUAUAUUUUUAAUACUGUUUUUCAUUGUUGUUUAUUUGGCUUUCUCAUCUUCUAUGUUUAAAGUUGGAAAAUUGACUUAAAAAAUUGUAUACUUUAAUGGGGAUUCUAUAUUUCUGUCUGUGUAAUAUUGAUGCAAGUUUUCUAAUUCUUCGGUUAUAUGUAGUUUAGCUGAACAAACAUUUUAUUUUUAUUUUUUAAAAUUGUACUCUGACUAUCAAAAUUCAAUGCUUGAAGAUUUAAAUUUUGGGAACUUGUUGAUAUCUUGAUUGCAGUGAGGCAGAAAGUUCAAACCUUUUUGAACGCUGCUUGUACAGGGAACCUUGAUCUUCUCAAGAGUAAGACAGCUCAUGUUAUGUUUUAAUUUUACUAUUCCGAGAGCUAAAUAUUAUUUUGAAAUGCUUUUGUUUUGUUUUGUUUUUUUUUUCUUUUUUCGAACUUUUUGAUGUUUCGAGUAGAGAUUGCCUCUCAACUUGAUGAGGGGAAGGGACUGGCUAAAACGGUGGCAGAUAUUAAGGAUGCGAACAAACGAGGGGCAAUUCAUUUUGCAGCAAGAGAGGGCAAGACUGAGGUGUGUAAAUACUUGUUGGAAGAAUUGAAGCUUGAUGUGAACACAAAAGAUGAAGAUGGUAUGCAUUUGAGUUUUUCGUCUUACAUAGUCGAAAUUUUCUUAAUACUCUGUUCUUUUUAUGUGCUAAAAGAUUCUUUAUGUUAUAUUCUUGAAUUAAUUGAAAAUGCAGGUGACACUCCUCUCCUUCAUGCUGCCCGGCAAGGUCAUACUCUCACUGCAAAAUACCUUCUAGAGCAUGGUGCCGAUCCUGCUAUACCCAGCAACUUAGAUGCCACUGCUUUACAUCAUGCAGCCGGAAUUGGUGCGUGCUCUUUAGCUUGUUUGUUCCUUUUCUAAGGAUGGGGCUAUUAUUCCGAUGUGAUAGUGCAGUAAUCAGAGUUCAGUAUGAUAUUACUAUGAUCCAUUGCUCAUUGUUACGUAGUUUACUAUAAAACAAUUGAUCUAGUUGCUACUGUACAUGGUCGUUUGAACUCCCUUCAUUAUAUUCUUUUCUUAAAAAAUUAUUCUUACCUCCAAUUUACUACUUCUUGCCUGCAGGGGAUGUUGAAUUGCUGAAGUAUAUACUGGACAAAGGCGUCAAGGUUGAUUCACAAAGUGAUGCUGGUACCCCUUUAGUUUGGGCUGCUGGUCAUGGUCAACGUGAAGCUGUGAAAGUAUUAUUAGAUUAUCAUGCUAAUGUAUGUUCUCUUUUCAUAUUGUAUAUGAAAAUAAAAUAAUUCUAGAGACUAGAAAUUUUUUGUGUUUUCUUUAGGGACUCCUUUUUAAAAGUUUCAUUGAUGUAUAUUCGUCUUUUACUGCUUAUGAUGAUUACUUUUGCAGCCAAAUGCUGAAAACGAGGAUAAUAUCACUCCAUUGUUGUCAUCAGUGGCAGCAGGUUCACUUGCAUGCACGGAUUUGUUGAUUCAGGUUUGUCCUCUUUAAUCUUCUUAGUGCUCCACUAUGUCUGACUUUUUGCCGCUUGCUAUAAAAUGCUCGCUAAUGAAAAUUUUAGAAGAGAAAUUACUAAAUCUUUCGUUUUGUUUUUAGUAGCUUUGCUUGACAGGUGACUUCUAGAUAGGAAGCUUGUUAACUCUAUAAAAAAUUCCAAAAAUUCCUCAUUUUUCAUUUAUUAUCUUUGUUUCUUGUCCCUGCUAGUUGGAUGGAUUGCUACUCAUUUUAAUUUGAUUUUAGAACAUUUAUUAUAUAUAUAUUUUUCAAUUAUACCAUUUCAUUGUUGUCACUGAGUCUUGCAUUUUAUCAUAUGCAGGCAGGUGCUAAAGUGAAUAUUACAGCUGGUGGAGCAACUCCGUUGCAUAUUGCAGCUGAUCAUGGAAGCCCUGAACUAAUAAACAGCUUACUGAAAGCUGGAGCUGAUCCUAAUGCCACUGAUGAGGUGAGUUUAGUAAUACAUUCAUUUUUCCAAAAUAAUAAACUUUUGAGCUUUAAAGGUUUUUCUAGUGAUCUGUAUGCUGUUACCUAUUAGAUGGUGAAAUACCAAAACUGUUACCUAAAGGGAUGAUUCUUUUGUCUUCUUCAAUGCCCUUGUGCUAAUUUAAGUGUGCAUCCGGGACUUUGAAGUUACGAAGCCUGGCAGCCUCGGAAGGCGGUGCCAGUUGCUUCUAUUGAUACAUUUUGUGCCAUAUGAUGGGUUUCACUUGUGUCGGAGCUAUAUCUGCCUUCUGCAUGGUCUUACAUUACUCUUGAGCUGUGAUCUAAUCCAUAAAGAAGUAUAGUUGAUAAUUGAUGUUUGCUAUUUUGAACGGGACCUUGAGCAGGAGUUCGAUAGAGAAAAGAAAAGGAUUAGUCAAAGAAACUAAAGUAUAACUCCUCAAAAUGGCCAAAAAGAAAGUAUAACUCAAAAUUAUUUAUUUGUUGAGUUAAUCCGGCAUUUGUUUCUUUGUUCUUCACAUCACAGGAUGGCCUGAAGCCCGUCCAGGUUGCAGCUGCCAGAGGUCAUCGUGGAGCAGUUGAGAUACUAUUUCCUUUGACGUCAAGAAUUGAUACCAUUCCAGAGUGGACUGUUGAAGGAAUUCUCAAAUAUUUGCAGUCUGAAACUGACAAACAAUUGGUACUAGUUUUUACUGUGAAUCAAAUUUGAGCAUAAUGCUUGAUGUCUUAUUUUGCUAUGAAUGCAAAUGUUAACAAAUAUUGUUAUCUUUAUUUAUUUUGAGGUGAAUUUUGCAGGAGCAAAUGAAAAAACUGACGGAAGCCAAGUCAACAAGGGACACUGCAUUGCCGGCAAAUGAUCUCCCUGAGGUGUCUCCUUUAAUCUAUUUUGUGAUUUUUGCUUGUUGAUUCUGUCCCCUUUAAUCUAAAGAAAUGUGAUUCACAUGGUUUUUUCUUUGAGGUUAACUGCUGCUUGUAAUUUUCAUAGAGUUUGAAUUAAAGAAAGAGAACAUAUAUUCUCCUCGUUAUAUGUCUUGAGUUAUUUAUCUAGGUGACACCCGAAACGAAGAAGAAAGCUGCAGAAGCCAAAUCAAGAGGAGACGAGGCUUUCAAAAGAAAAGAUUUUCAUAUGGCUGUAGAUGCAUAUACACAAGUAAGAUAUUAAUCUCAUUCGUGAAAUUGCGUUAAAGUAGUCAUCCUUUUCUAAUACAAGGUCGAAAUCACCUGUUCCUAGACCCAAAUUUCAUUUUUGGAACAUUUAACCAUAUCUUUUCCAUCAAAUCGUGGCAAAUCCUGGAAACCGUACUUCUUGGCACUUGAUUUCUUAACCUUGCACAUCACAUGAAGGCAAAUGUGUUUGUGGCAUUUGGUGAAUUGAGUUUCUUUCUGCAUUUAAAUUCGUUAACUAGUUUUAAGAACACGAUCUUGAGAAUUUAAUCUCAUCUGCUGAUUAACUUAACAGGCAAUUGAUUUAGAUCCAACGGAUGCUGCACUGCAUUCAAAUAGAAGCCUUUGCUGGAUUCGUCUCGGACAAGCUGAGCAUGCUUUAGCAGAUGCAAGGGCUUGCAGAGCAUUAAGACCAGACUGGCCAAAAGCUUGCUAUAGAGAAGGUGCUGCAUUGCGUUUGUUGCAGGCACGUUACAAUCUUUUUACCACAGUUGUCGAAGUUUCAUACUGGUUUUAUUAUUUUUGAUAUCAGACCAUUUUUAGCCGCUCCUUUUAUUGCAGAAAUAUGAUGAAGCAGCUAAUGCCUUUUACGAGGGUGUGCAGCUUGACCCCGAAAAUAAAGAGCUCGUAAAUGCUUUUAGGUCAGUAAUUUCAGUCUUCAUCUUCUCUGCUUAGGUCGUCGUUUUAUGGUGCCUGCAAACUCAAUAUGCCUAUUGUUAACUGAAAAAUUAGUAUUCUUUCCAAGCAACAUCUUGAUAUUUGAUUCCGUGGUUUUAAUUUGCAAAUUUUGCAGGGAAGCUGUUGAAGCGGGGAGGAAGUUUCAUGGUAACGAUCAAGAAAAAUCUAGUUAGUUUUCUGAGCUGAUACACCAAAGGUUUGAGAAGAUAUGAUGGGUAACAAACCGUGCGGAUUUUGAAGUUGGGAAGGGAAUGUUUAUUUGUAGCAUGCUUUAUCUGCGAAACAACACAACUGAAAGUUAAUGAGCAUGAGAAUGUAAGAUUAGCAGAACAAAUUGGUGUUGGUAUUCACCAUGAGAAUUGCAUGCUUAACAUCAAGAAGACACUUCAAAUUAUCAAAGUAAAAAAAUUGAAACCUACCCUCAGCAGUAAUUAUGUUUUCCACCUCUUUUGUGGAGGGUUGUAAAAAAUGGGUUUUAAUGUUAGAAUCAGAUUAAUCGACUCUCUAACUAGUAAAUUUUUAUCAUUUAGCCAUUUACCACUCAAUUUAGUUGAAGCCUACAAAUAAAAUCUAUCAAAACUCCAAAUCUGCAAAGGUCCCAGUGCUUGUCUUCACUGGAAUCUUAACUUUUUAUUGAUUGAAUCAAGAACUAGUAAUCUAACUGUUUAAUGAAGUAAUAUUUUUAUGUCAAAGAGUUGGAAUAAUCAUGAUUUAGAUCUCUAAUUAAGGCACUUUCACCAAUUAUCAUGUAUUACAUUUAUUAGAAAUUUAAAUUGCGAUUGCAGAUACCUUGUAGAUUGCAUCAUAUUUAGUAAAUUUAGCAACUUGCAAGCAACAAGUGCUGCUAAGUUUUAUUCGAGAAUGGAUUUAUUUAGUAGUGAUACAAAGCAUUUAUUUGGUUGAAACUCAUUUUAAUUACUAAAAAGUGGGUUUAGUCACCACAGUUUACAAAUUCAUAGUUGACAGUGAGGUGACCUUGAGCAUUCCCAAUCCCAUUUGUGUCAAGUUGGUUAAAUACAUUAACAUCCAAAUCCAGCCCUCCAUUGCUACAUUGAUCCACGAUUCUCACCGUUGCCUGAGUUCCAGUGGCGGUGUUGGUCACCCUUAAGCAUCGGCCACAAGCAGCUUGACCUUGAGGACCAGCAGGACCACAAAAAGCAGUCCAUCCAUAUUUUUGACGCCAUGCUAAGGGCUUACUGGCAUCCCAUGUGGCGCAGAAAGCACUUGCAGCAGUCAAGUCCCAGUGU
rnacentral:lncRNA from 1 species